rnacentral:rRNA from 1 species
CUACGGGAGGCUGCAGUGAGGAAUAUUGCACAAUGGGGGGAACCCUGAUGCAGCAACGCCGCGUGGAGGAUGACGCAUUUCGGUGUGUAAACUCCUUUUAUAUGUCAAGAAAAUGACGGUAGCAUAUGAAUAAGCACCGGCUAACUCCGUGCCAGCAGCCGCGGUAAUACGGAGGAUGCAAGCGUUACUCGGAAUCACUGGGCGUAAAGGACGCGUAGGCGGGUUGGAAAGUCAGGUGUGAAAUCCUACAGCUUAACUGUAGAACUGCACUUGAAACUUCUAAUCUAGAGUAUGGGAGGGGGAGAUGGAAUUAGUGGUGUAGGGGUAAAAUCCGUAGAUAUCACUAGGAAUACCUAAAGCGAAGGCGAUCUCCUGGAACAUUACUGACGCCAAGGCGUGAAAGCGUGGGGAGCAAACAGGAUUAGAUACCCCAGUAGUC